rnacentral:piRNA from 1 species
UGUUGGAAUAGGUGUGACUUUGUUAAAGGA